UACGUAGGGUCCGCGCGUUAAUCGGAAUUACUGGGCGUAAAGCGUGCGCAGGCGGUUUUGUAAGCCAGAUGUGAAAGCCCCGGGCUUAACCUGGGAAUGGCAUUUGGGACUGCAAGGCUGGAGUACGGCAGAGGGAGGUGGAAUUCCAGGUGUAGCAGUGAAAUGCGUAGAUAUCUGGAGGAACACCGAUGGCGAAGGCAGCCUCCUGGGCUAGUACUGACGCUCAUGCACGAAAGCGUGGGGAGCAAACAGG
rnacentral:rRNA from 1 species